UAGCUCAGUCGGUAGAGCAGUUGACUUUUAAUCAAUUGGUCGCAGGUUCGAAUCCUGC
rnacentral:tRNA from 1 species